GACGUAGGGCGCGAGCGUUGUCCGGAUUUAUUGGGCGUAAAGAGCUCGUAGGCGGCUUGUCGCGUCGACUGUGAAAUCCCGCGGCUCAACUGCGGGUCUGCAGUCGAUACGGGCAGGCUAGAGUUCGGUAGGGGAGACUGGAAUUCCUGGUGUAGCGGUGAAAUGCGCAGAUAUCAGGAGGAACACCGAUGGCGAAGGCAGGUCUCUGGGCAUUAACUGACGCUGAGGAGCGGAAAGCAUGGGGAGCGAACAGG
rnacentral:rRNA from 1 species